GCCCUUAUAAAGGAGGCUUGAGAGAGACCCUUCAUCACCUACACCAUGUAAUAGGAAGAAGGUUCUGUCUAUGAGGAAAGGGGCUUUCACUGGACACAAAUCUGCCAGGAUCUUAAUCUUGGACUUGCUAGUCUUCAGAACUACAAAAAGCAAAUUUCUGUUGUUUAUGUGUCACCUAUGCUAUUUUGUUAUAGUAGCCUGAACAGACAGUCUGAGAAGUUGUCACAGCCAAGAGGAUCCUAAGGAGACACGAUAACCAAAGCUGCUUAAUGGAGCACAUUUUUGUCAGUGGAUAUUGAAAUCUUCGUUCCUUUCAGAGAAAUGAUUGCUGCACCUUCCUCUUUAGGACCACUCACCUCAUGUUUAAAAUACAGCUUUGGAGGAGAAUGAAAUGUUUUUCAAGAGCACGUAGGGGUUGCAGCUUUUGCAGUAAGUUUCCUCAUAUAGCUUCAGAACUCAUCAAAGAAUCCACUCCCAGCAGGCCUCGGUCUCUGCUCUCUCAUCCUGUGAGCCCAAACUUUCAGGAGCACUAGGCCAGGACUAUCCUGAAUCCCCUGCCAAAGAUGCAAAAUUCAGGCUGAUGCCCAUUCUCUGAAUCCUCUGACGUUUCCCCAAUCCUGUAUUUAAAAUGAUCCUUAUCCUUUUCAGCUAUGAUGUGACCCUAAAAAGGCACAUUUAGGAUCAUUUUCAAGAGUCUUGUCUUGGCACAGGUAAGACUCUUUUCAUAUCAAUCUUUGUCUAAGAUCACAUUGGGUAAUGGAAAGACCUCAGCAAUGAUUCUUCGUGUAUCAAAAAAAAAAUGGCAAGAUCAGAGAAUAGCUCUGGAGUCAGAGAAGAUGGAGUUAAAAUCCUGAUGCUGUCACUUAUUAGCUGAGUGACCUUUUGGCAGGUUGCUUAACUUCUCUGAGCCUCAGUUUCCUUAUCUCUAGAAGGGCAAUACAAUCUUUACAAGACUCAAGUUAGAUGAUGAAUGCGAAGUGCCUAGUGCCACACUAGGUGCAUGCUCGGCAUUCACUAAACAAUAAGUUUAGCAGAAUAGGGGUUUCAAAUGAAAUAGAGAUGGUCCCAUAAGCCUUUGGAAAUUUGCUUAAUGUAGAAGGUGAAACAAGCUACAUAAAUGGAGCUGAAUAAUUUGAAAUUGGUUGAGAAAAAAAUGAACUCUCAAUGAGAUUACGAAUCAUUCUAGUUGGUGUCUUGGACUUGCUCCAGGAAUAAUUAUUGUGGUUUUAAUUUACAAGAUGAAAUAGGAGCUGCUUCUGCGAGUAAAGGGAGAAACAAGAGGGUGGUCUGACCAGUCCCCACCACCCACAUUCACAACCUGCAUGGCCAACACCAACCAGUGGCCUUCCAACUACCACAAAGCCCCUGGAACAGCUUCAUGUCCCUAAAACCAGGUUCUUUUCCUAUGUAUUGUCAUGACGGAGGCCCAUAGGCCCAGAGAGGAUCGCAUCUGUUCCCACCACAGGUGACACAAGUUCCAGCCAGGCUCUUCAAAGCACAACCUGUUCUGUACUCUCUGCCCGCCCCCUCCUGCUAGUUAAAGAUGUCAGUGAAGCUGAAGAACUCAAGACUGAUUGAUAACAACUUCAAUCUCCUGAGGCUCACUUGUUCCUUUUUUAAAAAUUUCAUUCUGUUUGCCAGCUGCUUCUGUUCAUAAAAGGCUGGGGAAACAUUCGCACCAUAUGUCUUCUGGUUAUCUGGGUGUCUAAUGCAAAAUGUAUUUAAAGGAUUUAUCAAAUUCUAAUAGACAAGCUAGAAUGAAAGUUCUGGUUUCCUGCAGACAUUUCAAAUUUUCUCUUUCUUUUCUUUGAGGAAAGCCAUGGCUCACAGCCUCAGACUCUGCCAGCUGUUCCCUCUCCCUCCUCAAUUUGCCUCUGGUGCCUGGCAUGGAACUUUGCAUCUGUGCAUAUUGAGCAGAUAUGUAUGAAAUUUAAGGAAACUGUGAAUAUAAGGAGAGAAUUGUCCUGAGUUACACAAUUAAUAUAAAUACAGAGGCUUGGCAUCAA